UACGGGGGGAGCAAGCGUUGUUCGGAUUCAUUGGGCGUAAAGGGCGCGUAGGUGGCUUGGUUAGUCCGACGUGAAAUGUACCGGUUCAACCGGGGCACUGUGGCGGAAACUGCCGAGCUUGAGGCCGAGGGAGGAAGGUGGAAUUCCUGGUGUAGCGGUGAAAUGCGCAGAUAUCAGGAGGAACACCGGUGGCGAAGGCGGGUCUCUGGGCCGAUACUGACGCUGAGGAGCGAAGGCGUGGGGAGCGAACAGG
rnacentral:rRNA from 1 species